AGCUUUGAAACAUUGGCCCUUGAUGCAACAAAGGAAAAGUCCACUUUUAAGUGGCCCCAAACUUAGGUAAAACACACAACAUUCCCCCACUCCCAGUAAAGUCAAUGACAGAAACAAAGAAACAGUACACUGCCAAGAUAGAGGUUCAGUGUAUCACAUUGUGGUCACCAAUUGUGGAUUCAGCAGAAAGGAUUACUCAAGACUCC